UGGUUGUCCCGGGGCAAGUGCGUAGGCCGAGAGAUAGGCAAAUCCGUCUCUCACAUAGGCUGAGACACGAUGCGGAUAAAAAGUGGGUGAUCCUAUGCUGCCAAGAAGAGCAUCGACGCGAGGUUCUAGCCGCCCGUACCCCAAACCGACUCAGGUGGUCAGGUAGAGAAUACCAAGGAGAUCGAGAGAAUCGUGGUUAAGGAACUCGGCAAAAUGCCCCCGUAACUUCGGGAGAAGGGGGGCCUUCGGCGUAUUAGGACUUGCUCCGAAAGCGUUUGGAGGCCGCAGAGACUAGUGGGUAGCGACUGUUUAUUAAAAACACAGGUCCGUGCCAAGUCGCAAGACGAUGUAUACGGACUGACGCCUGCCCGGUGCUGGAAGGUUAAGAGGACCGGUUAGCCGCAAGGCGAAGCUGAGAAUUUAAGCCCCAGUAAACGGCGGUGGUAACUAUAACCAUCCUAAGGUAGCGAAAUUCCUUGUCGGGUAAGUUCCGACCUGCACGAAUGGCGUAACGACUUCCCAACUGUCUCAACCGCGAACUCGGCGAAAUUGCACUACGAGUAAAGAUGCUCGUUACGCGCAGCAGGACGGAAAGACCCCGUGACCUUUACUACAGCUUGGUAUUGGUGUUCGGUGUGGCUUGUGUAGGAUAGGUGGGAGACUUUGAAGCGGUGACGCCAGUUACCGUGGAGUCAUUGUUGAAAUACCACUCUGGUCACUCUGGAUAUCUAACUUCGAACCGUAAUCCGGUUCAGGGACAGUGCCUGGUGGGUAGUUUAACUGGGGCGGUUGCCUCCCAAAAAGUAACGGAGGCGCCCAAAGGUUCCCUCAACCUGGUUGGCAAUCAGGUGUCGAGUGUAAGUGCACAAGGGAGCUUGACUGUGAGACUGACAGGUCGAGCAGGGACGAAAGUCGGGACUAGUGAUCCGGCAGUGGCUUGUGGAAGCGCUGUCGCUCAACGGAUAAAAGGUACCUCGGGGAUAACAGGCUGAUCUUGCCCAAGAGUCCAUAUCGACGGCAUGGUUUGGCACCUCGAUGUCGGCUCGUCGCAUCCUGGGGCUGGAGUAGGUCCCAAGGGUUGGGCUGUUCGCCCAUUAAAGCGGUACGUGAGCUGGGUUUAGAACGUCGUGAGACAGUUCGGUCCCUAUCCGCUGCGCGCGUAGGAAAUUUGAGAGGAUCUGACCCUAGUACGAGAGGACCGGGUUGGACGAACCUCUGGUGUGCCAGUUGUUCUGCCAAGAGCACCGCUGGUUAGCUACGUUCGGGAUGGAUAACCGCUGAAAGCAUCUAAGCGGGAAGCCGGCCUCAAGAUGAGAUUUCCAUGCCUUCGGGCGAGAGGCUCCCAGCCAGACUACUGGGUUGAUAGGCCGGAUGUGGAAGCGCGGUAACGCGUGAAGCUGACCGGUACUAAUAAGCCGAUGACU
rnacentral:rRNA from 1 species